rnacentral:rRNA from 1 species
GACGAACGCUGUCGGCGUGCUUAACACAUGCAAGUCGAACGGAAAGGCCCUGCUUUUGUGGGGUGCUCGAGUGGCGAACGGGUGAGUAACACGUGAGUAACCUGCCCUUGACUUUGGGAUAACUUCAGGAAACUGGGGCUAAUACCGGAUAGGAGCUCCUGCUGCAUGGUGGGGGUUGGAAAGUUUCGGCGGUUGGGGAUGGACUCGCGGCUUAUCAGCUUGUUGGUGGGGUAGUGGCUUACCAAGGCUUUGACGGGUAGCCGGCCUGAGAGGGUGACCGGCCACAUUGGGACUGAGAUACGGCCCAGACUCCUACGGGAGGCAGCAGUGGGGAAUAUUGCACAAUGGGCGGAAGCCUGAUGCAGCAACGCCGCGUGCGGGGUGACGGCCUUCGGGUUGUAAACCGCUUUCGCCUGUGACGAAGCGUGAGUGACGGUAAUGGGUAAAGAAGCACCGGCUAACUACGUGCCAGCAGCCGCGGUGAUACGUAGGGUGCGAGCGUUGUCCGGAUUUAUUGGGCGUAAAGGGCUCGUAGGUGGUUGAUCGCGUCGGAAGUGUAAUCUUGGGGCUUAACCCUGAGCGUGCUUUCGAUACGGGUUGACUUGAGGAAAGGUAGGGGAGAAUGGAAUUCCUGGUGGAGCGGUGGAAUGCGCAGAUAUCAGGAGGAACACCAGUGGCGAAGGCGGUUCUCUGGGCCUUUCCUGACGCUGAGGAGCGAAAGCGUGGGGAGCGAACAGGCUUAGAUACCCUGGUAGUCCACGCUGUAAACGGUGGGUACUAGGUGUGGGGUCCAUUCCACGGGUUCCGUGCCGUAGCUAACGCUUUAAGUACCCCGCCUGGGGAGUACGGCCGCAAGGCUAAAACUCAAAGGAAUUGACGGGGCCCCGCACAAGCGGCGGAGCAUGCGGAUUAAUUCGAUGCAACGCGUAGAACCUUACCUGGGUUUGACAUGGAUCGGGAGUGCUCAGAGAUGGGUGUGCCUCUUUUGGGGUCGGUUCACAGGUGGUGCAUGGCUGUCGUCAGCUCGUGUCGUGAGAUGUUGGGUUAAGUCCCGCAACGAGCGCAACCCUUGUUCACUGUUGCCAGCACGUUAUGGUGGGGACUCAGUGGAGACCGCCGGGGUCAACUCGGAGGAAGGUGGGGAUGACGUCAAGUCAUCAUGCCCCUUAUGUCCAGGGCUUCACGCAUGCUACAAUGGCUGGUACAGAGAGUGGCGAGCCUGUGAGGGUGAGCGAAUCUCGGAAAGCCGGUCUCAGUUCGGAUUGGGGUCUGCAACUCGACCUCAUGAAGUCGGAGUCGCUAGUAAUCGCAGAUCAGCAACGCUGCGGUGAAUACGUUCCCGGGGCU